ensembl:lncRNA
CAGCUGUGGUCUGUCCUAGGAUAUACUGUAUUCCUUGUCCAUUUGUUACAGCCCUUCGGUCGAAACCUACAUACAGCACAUAGAGGAUUGUCCCCUGACUUGCUUAUUUCCCUUCCUCUUGGUUCUUCUUGUUGCUAGAAUAUCAGUCCCCACUUUACCUGGAACACAAGGGCUCUUGUAUGCAGCAGACUUUGACUAAAGAAUUGAGAGAAUGGGGGAAGAUUACAACAUAAUCCUUCUAGCCUUAUUUUUUUUUUAAGUUUUUUUUUGUUUUUUUUUUGUUUUUUUUUUUUUAAUUUGGCGGGGAGGUAAGUGGGUUUAUUUAUUUAUUUAUUCUUAUAGGAGGUACUGGGCAUUGAACCCGGGACCUCAUGCAUGCUAAGCAUGUGCUCUACCAUUUGAGCUAUACCCUCCCCACCUAGCUUUAUUUUUUAAAAGUUAUUUUCCCUCAUACUUCAGAGCAGUUCUUUCUUUUUUGUGCUAUGGAUCCCUUUGGCAAACUAGGGAAGCCUACGGAUCCCCGCCUCUCUUCAAGGUAAUUUUUAAAUAAAAAUAAUUCAUAGUUAUAGAAGAAACCAGUUAAGAUGUGGUUUUUAGAAUAUAUAAAACACAGUAGGAAUAUAAUAUGUCUUUAUUGUGCAUUAAACAAGCUGGCAGGUGGCAUGACUACCUUAAUUUCAAAAUAGUUAAUGAGUAAAUUAUACUCUGAGAUAUCUGUAUUGACUAAGAUAUAAUAUGAAAAUGUUUGGGAUUUCCACUGAUGAGAAGGUCACAGAUGUUGGUACUGUGAUUUGUUGCCUACUUUUAUAACUAAAGGAAAUGCUAAAUUCAGCUAAACGUUCAUAAAAACAUAAAAUAUUUCCCCCCAUUCAAGUUCUGUCCUGCCUUCUGUGUAAGAACCUUUUGCGGGUCUGUGGACUUCAGGCUAAUCACCCCUGCCUCAGAGGAAAUACUGCGCCUCUCCUGCUAAGGCCGGACUCAUCACCUGUGGUCUGCCCUCCGACUCCCUGUUUUCUCUGGGACCCACUCCACACAGGCCCCGAUGUUGAGUCUUGUCAGUCUCCAGCAGUCUUCUUGGGAUUCUGAACCUGCUUUUCCUCUAGACACUGAAACAGGACAUUUUUGAGGUACAGUAUGAACUUAGAGGAUGUUUUUAGCUUGGUUAAUGUUGACCUGUGAACAGAAAUAAUUGAGUCACUUCAAUAAGGCCUAGAGUAGAAAUAGUGUAUUCUGGAGGAAGGAAAAUGCAACCUGUGCCCUUGCAGGUUAAU